GACAGAGGGUGCGAGCGUUAAUCGGAAUUACUGGGCGUAAAGAGCACGUAGGUUGGUAUUUAAGUCAGUUGUGAAAGCCUCGAGCUCAACUUGAGAACUGCAAUUGAAACUGGAUACCUAGAGUUUGGUAGAGGGAAGUGGAAUUUCCGAAGUAGCGGUGAAAUGCAUAGAUAUCGGAAGGAACACCAGUGGCGAAGGCGGCUUCCUGGACCAAUACUGACACUGAGGUGCGAAAGCGUGGGGAGCGAACAGG
rnacentral:rRNA from 1 species